rnacentral:rRNA from 1 species
UACAGAGGUUUCAAGCGUUGUUCGGAUUCAUUGGGCGUAAAGGGUGCGUAGGCGGCGCGGUAAGUCGGGUGUGAAAUCUCGGAGCUUAACUCCGAAACUGCAUUCGAUACUGCCGUGCUUGAGGACUGGAGAGGAGACUGGAAUUUACGGUGUAGCGGUGAAAUGCGUAGAUAUCGUAAGGAAGACCAGUGGCGAAGGCGGGUCUCUGGACAGUUCCUGACGCUGAGGCACGAAGGCCAGGGGAGCAAACAGG